CUUUUCGGCCGCGGCGCGUGACUGGGCUUGGUGGAGUUUCAAGAUGCUGAUGAACUUAAGGUAUGGGCCGAGUGGAAAGAAUUUGGUUUAAGUUAUUAAUAGUUGAAUUGAAAUUGUGGCCAAGGAUGAGAACUCUAAUCUGAUUUUAUGUGCUUCUGCUGUGAUGGAUUAAAGGAUUUACCUGAGGCCAAAUUGGUAUGCAGGAAUUUAUUAAAUGGAAUCAUACCCCCCCCCCUUUUAAAAUUACGCUUUUGGUAAAAGGGAAAAAGCUCUUGGUAAAUGGAUAAUACUACUAAGCCAAGAGAAAGACAGGAUUUUGAGUGAAAACAUAAAUUUAGAUGUCACAACAUUACUAAAGCAACAGUGUGUAAGAUACUGGACGAUUUUAUUUACUUACUUGCACAGUUUUUGUAAACAGUCUAGACAGUACUGUAUUUUGCUAUUUAGUAAUACCUACUGUGAUACUUCUUUUACAGGUCUGGCGCUUGAAAGAAUCAGUGAAGCUUUUCAAGUAGAGGAGUGGUGUUUCCAGUGAAAUCUAUGGCAAGAUGGUUUGGGGUCACUAUCUACAUGAACUGCCAAGUUGGAAAAUCAAAAAUACAUCAAAAUCACUCUUGGGACAUAAGUCACGGAAGUGACUCAUGCACACAAUAAAUACCCAAGAAGCAGGACCAGACGGCAGUUGUGUAUUGGCACGCUCAUCAGUGCUGCAAAAAUUCCCCUUCUGGAUGGCAACAACAAUGCUGUAUCCACAGCAGCAUUUUAAAUCUCACCUCUGAUGUAUCCAUUG
rnacentral:lncRNA from 1 species